UAUUCGAUUCUAUAUGCGUUGGAAAUGACUUCAACCUGACAAAACAUAUUAAAAUAAAGACUUUACUAAGAAUUUAUACACAUCUCUAUACAGUAUGAGCGUUAUGCACUUAUCCUGUGGUCCAUAGACGGUUCGUAUUUCAAGGAUAAAAGGAACCGCGCAGCAGGACACCGCGGACACGAAGGCUACAGAAGCUCACGCUUCCGUCCGGCUCACAUACCUGCGCAUGCACCGGCUACCCACAAAAACAUUGUCUAGAUGGACAAGACGAAUUAUUUAGAUGUAGACCCAAAAUCAUAAGCGAAGUUUGAAAAUAUAGGUUUUCGUGUUAGAAAUAGAAAUAUAUUUUGUUGUAGAAACGCUGACUUUGUUGUCAUGGGAAACGCUCCCAGAUGCGGUACACACGACGCUUGGGUGCAUGCACAUAUUGACAUAUUAAUAGAAACGAU